CCGAAAGGAAAUCUUGUUCCCACUAAGCAGUCACACCCCAAUUCUCCUCCCCCAGCCCCUGGCAACCAAGAGUUUUUCUAUCUCUAGGAUUUAGCUCUUCUGAUUACCCUGAGUAGUAGUCCUAAUACCUCAUUUACUUUGUGCCAAGACAUGACUUGAAGAGUUUUAUGUGUAUUAACUCAAUUAAUCCGCACAAAAACCCAAGGAAGUGGACACAAAUAGCCCCAGAACAGGGAGAAGGAGAUUGUGAAGAAAGCUCAUGGGACAGAGCAUCAUCACUGACUCGUGAUGUCUGUCAUGGACAGAGGACUGGGUGAAGUAUCCUACAGAACAGAGAUUUGCCUUCCCUCCUGGAUACAUUUCCCCUAUGUCCUCCUUCAAAAUGAAUGCCCACCGUUGGCAUGGGUGCCAAAGCGAAGACUGCGCCACCUUGGAAUCGUCCUUCUCCGUCAGUACUCAGUCUUUCAGUGCAUCACCAAACAGUCAGUCAGCGCUGAUAUUACAGUUCCUAUAUAGUUCUCAAAUACUUCUACUUUUCUGCAUCUUUUCUGAAACUACCCUUCUCCAAGAAACCAACUAAAUAACUGGAUGAGCUUACCGAUCU
rnacentral:lncRNA from 1 species